AGAUGUGAGGGCGAUCUGGCCGUGACAUCUGUCCCCCGAUUGAUCGCCAGGGUUGAUUCGGCUGAUCUGGCUGGCUAGGCGGGUGUCCCCUUCCUCCCUCACUGCUCCAAGUGCAUCCCUCCUGAAGCUGUGAGCUCGCUCGGUCGAAGAGGACGACCUUCCCCGAUAGAGGAGGACCGUUCUUCUGUCAAGGGUAUACGAGUAGCUGCGUUCCCCUGCUAGAACCUCCAAACAAGCUCUCGAGGUCCAUUUGUAGGAGAACGUAGGGUACUCAAGCUUCCAAGACUCCAGACACAUCCAAAUGAGGCGUUGCACGUGGCAGUCUGUCUUUCUUA
ensembl:misc_RNA 7SK 7SK RNA